AGCCUGGUUUCCCAGUGCUACAUCCACUUCCUGUGGUGGGUGGCAAGUCUACAAGGCACAGUGAUGCCAAGUUUUCUCAGCUCUUUCCUCAGUGUGGCAAAGUUAGAAUAAGGCCAAAGAGCAUGGUCUAGAAACCAGAGAGAGCCACCGUGAAGAUCGUUUGAGCAGACGGGCCAGAUUUCAGCCAGAACAGCUAGUUCUUUAUGAACAGAAGCUAAGCCAUGGAACAUAUUCUGGUGGUGGAACCAGCCUGGGAGAAAAUGGAUCUCCUGGGUGAAGAGGCACCAAAGGGUGAACUGAUGCAUUGCCUAUGCUAAAGAAUCCCAGACCCGGCUGAUAAUCAGAACCACCUGGAAAGUUUGGAACUUUCAUAUGGUCAGCCCCUCCCUAGACUUCCUGAAUCUUCAUCUGGAAUUGGGUGUUAAGAAAUGGAGGCCACAAGAGUAUUCAGAGACUGGGAAGCUGUGAAGAUGAGGGGUAAUAGCAUGCUAAUAACAAUCACAAGACAAAGAAGAAAGUAGAUCAUCUUUGUUUUUUGAUGAUUAUGUACCAUUCAUCCACAGAAAAGACCUACUACAAUUCACUGUAAAAGAUAUAAGCUCAGAGAAAUGAAAACAGAUGUUCACACAAAAAUCUGUGCAUGAAAAAAAAAAUCUGUACAUGAAUGUUUAUAGCAGCGUUAUUGGUAAUGGCCUCCAAACUGGAAAUGACCCAGAUGUCCUUCAAAGGAAUUAAACAAAGUGUGGGGCAGUUGGGUGGCUCAGUUGGUUAAUCAUCUGACUGGAUUUUGUCUCAGGUCAUGAUCUUAGGGUUGUGAGACAGAGCCCUGUGUCAGGCUUUGUGCUCAGCAGAGUCUGUUUGUCUCUCUCCCUUUGCUUCUACCCUCUGCUCUCUUUCUCUCUCUAAAAUAAAUAAAAUCUUAAAAAAAAAUAAACUAUGAAAAAAAAUAAACUAUGUUACAUCUACAUCUCAGAAUACUACUCAUCAAUAAAAAGGAAUAAAUUAUUGA